AACUGAUUCUUUUCUGAACUGAUUCUGAACUGAUUCUGUGCUAAUGUUAUGAGCGCGGGUAAACCGAGGGCUUGAAUGGAGGGCAAUCUGACGAAACGUAAGUUCAUUUAAUAACAAAUACAUCGCAAUGGAUUAUGUAUAAACCGGUGAACCGUUUUUUUCAACCGGUUUAUUGAAUCAAACCGUCCGGAAGAACCGGUUCGCGGAAAAGAAUCGAACUUCCCAUCACUAAUCCACAUUGAUAUCCAGUGAGUGAUGCGUGUGUUUCGUCUGCAAGCAUGAGAUGAUAGCCUAUAUGCUACUGCUGCCUGCCGGUGUGGUGCAGUAAAAUGACAGAAGGGGAGACAUUCAUUAAUUUAUCAUCUCAAUUUUAUGCUGGUUUUAUUGUUACACAUGACGCGGACUCGACUGUACUCGGAAUAUUUUCCGAGUCCAAAAUGUUCAAGUCCGUGUCACGUCCGAGUACAAAUUCACCCGAAUGCGUGACAAGUUCGAGUUCAUUCAAAAUUGGACUCGAGUCCAAGUUCGAGUACCCCAACUCUAG